ACUAGGAUGCCUGAGUAAAGGGUUAUUCUGAUAUUAUAAUUCACGUAAAAUUUACUCCUAGUA
rnacentral:tRNA from 1 species